CCUACGGGUGGCAGCAGUGAGGAAUAUUGGUCAAUGGACGCAAGUCUGAACCAGCCAUGCCGCGUGCAGGAAGACGGCUCUAUGAGUUGUAAACUGCUUUUGUACGAGGGUAAACGCAGAUACGCGUAUCUGUCUGAAAGUAUCGUACGAAUAAGGAUCGGCUAACUCCGUGCCAGCAGCCGCGGUAAUACGGAGGAUUCAAGCGUUAUCCGGAUUUAUUGGGUUUAAAGGGUGCGUAGGCGGUCGGAUAAGUUAGAGGUGAAAUCCCGAGGCUCAACUUCGGAAUUGCCUCUAAUACUGUUCGGCUAGAGAGUAGUUGCGGUAGGCGGAAUGUAUGGUGUAGCGGUGAAAUGCUUAGAGAUCAUACAGAACACCGAUUGCGAAGGCAGCUUACCAGGCUACUUCUGACGUUGAGGCACGAAAGCGUGGGGAGCGAACAGGAUUAGAUACCCUAGUAGUC
rnacentral:rRNA from 1 species